rnacentral:rRNA from 1 species
UACGUAGGGGGCGAGCGUUGUCCGGAUUUACUGGGCGUAAAGGGUGAGUAGGCGGUAAUAUGUGUCAGAUGUAAAAGGCUAAGGCUUAACCAUAGUUAGCAUUUGAAACUGUAUUACUUGAGUGCAGGAGAGGUAAGCGGAAUUCCUAGUGUAGCGGUGAAAUGCGUAGAUAUUAGGAGGAACACCAGUGGCGAAGGCGGCUUACUGGACUGUAACUGACGCUGAGUCACGAAAGCGUGGGUAGCAAACAGG